rnacentral:rRNA from 1 species
AGUGAACGCUGGCGGCGUGCCUAAUACAUGCAAGUCGCACUAAGUGGCGCACGGGUGAGUAAUAUAUAGUUAAUCUGCCCUACACAGAGGAACCACACUUGGAAACGACUGCUAAUACCUCAUAUUGUAGGAUGAGACUAUAUCGUAUCAGCUAGUUGGUAAGGUAAUGGCUUACCAAGGCUAUGACGCGUAACUGGUAUGAGAGGAUGAUCAGUCAACUUGGAACUGAGACACGGUCCAAACUCCGUCGGGAGGCAGCAGUAAGGAAUAUAGCGCAAUGGGGGAAACCCUGACGAAGCAACGCCGCGUGGAGGAUGACACUUUUCGGAGCGUAAACGCCUUUUAUCAGGAAAGUGGUACCUGAUGAAUAAGCACCGGCUAACUCCGUGCCAGCAGCCGCGGUAAUUC